AAAAAUACAACUCAGCUACCAUGCAGUCGACGAUGAACCUCACUUGUGGGGGGAUUAGUGGCGAACGGGUGAGUAACACGUGAGUAACCUGCCCUUGACUCUGGGAUAAGCCUGGGAAACCGGGUCUAAUACUGGAUACGACCUUCUGGCGCAUGCCAUGUUGGUGGAAAGCUUUUGUGGUUUUGGAUGGACUCGCGGCCUAUCAGCUUGUUGGUGGGGUAAUGGCCUACCAAGGCGACGACGGGUAGCCGGCCUGAGAGGGUGACCGGCCACACUGGGACUGAGACACGGCCCAGACUCCUACGGGAGGCAGCAGUGGGGAAUAUUGCACAAUGGGCGCAAGCCUGAUGCAGCGACGCCGCGUGAGGGAUGAAGGCCUUCGGGUUGUAAACCUCUUUCAGUAGGGAAGAAGCCGGCCUUUGUGUUGUGGAGACGGCCUGUGCAAAAAACGCCCCGGAUAUAUACGUGCCCACCCCCGCGAAUACACAUGGGGCGCGCGC
rnacentral:rRNA from 1 species